rnacentral:rRNA from 1 species
GAUGAACGCUAGCGGCAAGCUUAAUACAUGCAAGUCGAGGGGCAGCAUGACUGUAGCAAUACAGUUGAUGGCGACCGGCAAACGGGUGCGGAACACGUACAGAACCUUCCUUCGAGCGGGGAAUAGCCCAGAGAAAUUUGGAUUAAUACCCCAUAGUAUAUUGGAGUGGCAUCACUUUGAUAUUAAAGAUUUAUCACUUGGAGAUGGCUGUGCGGCUGAUUAGAUAGUUGGUGAGGUAACGGCUCACCAAGUCUGCGAUCAGUAACUGGUGUGAGAGCACGACCAGUCACACGGGCACUGAGACACGGGCCCGACUCCUACGGGAGGCAGUAGUAAGGAAUAUUGGUCAAUGGACGAAAGUCUGAACCAGCUAUGCCGCGUGGAGGAUGAAGGCCCUCUGGGUUGUAAACUUCUUUUAUAUGGGACGAAAAAGGGCCUUUCUAGGCCAACUGACGGUACCAUGUGAAUAUGCACCGGCUAACUCCGUGUCAGCCGCCGCGGUAACAC